UGGGGAAUAUUGGACAAUGGGCGAAAGCCUGAUCCAGCCAUGCCGCGUGAGUGACGAAGGUCUUCGGAUUGUAAAGCUCUUUUGGCGGGGACGAUAAUGACGGUACCCGCAGAAUAAGCCCCGGCUAACUUCGUGCCAGCAGCCGCGGUAAUACGAAGGGGGCUAGCGCUGUUCGGAAUCACUGGGCGUAAAGCGCACGUAGGCGGAUUUGCCAGUCAGGGGUGAAAUCCCGGGGCUCAACCUCGGAACUGCCCUUGAUACAGCAAAUCUCGAGUCCGGAAGAGGUGAGUGGAAUUCCUAGUGUAGAGGUGAAAUUCGUAGAUAUUAGGAAGAACACCAGUGGCGAAGGCGGCUCACUGGUCCGGCACUGACGCUGAGGUGCGAAAGCGUGGGGGAGCAAACAGGAUUAGAUACCCUGGUAGUCCACGCCGUAAACUAUGGAUGCUAGCCGUCGGCAAGCUUGCUUGUCGGUGGCGCAGCUGACGC
rnacentral:rRNA from 1 species